UCAAAGGAAUUGACGGGGGCCCGCACAAGCGGUGGAGUAUGUGGUUUAAUUCGAUGCAACGCGCAGAACCUUACCUGGCCUUGACAUCCACGGAAUCCUUCAGAGAUGAGGGAGUGCCUUCGGGAACCGUGAGACAGGUGCUGCAUGGCUGUCGUCAGCUCGUGUCGUGAGAUGUUGGGUUAAGUCCCGCAACGAGCGCAACCCUUGUCCCUAGUUGCCAGCACGUAAUGGUGGGAACUCUAGGGAGACCGCCGGUGACAAACCGGAGGAAGGUGGGGAUGACGUCAAGUCAUCAUGGCCCUUGCGGCCAGGGCUACACACGUACCACAAUGGGAAGGACAGAGGGCCGCGAUCCCGCGAGGGGGAGCCAAUCCCAGAAACCUUCUCUCAGUCCGGAUCGGAGUCUGCAACUCGACUCCGUGAAGUCGGAAUCGCUAGUAAUCGCAGAUCAGCAUUGCUGCGGUGAAUACGUUCCCGGGCCUUGUACACACCGCCCGUCACACCAUGGGAGUGGGUUGCUCCAGAAGUCGCUAGUCUAACCUUCGGGGGGACGGUGACCACGGAGUGAUUCAUGACUGGGGUGAAGUCGUAACAAGGUA
rnacentral:rRNA from 1 species